GGAAGAGGAAAUCAAGCCGAUGAACCACCAAGGAGCAUGUGUGAGUCAGUACUAGACAUGUGAUGGUACGAGGAGCAAUGAAUGGAUCCUGCCCUUUUUGGAGGGUCCCAGCCCAUUCUCUACAACGAAGAUUUCCUAGGGCAAAACAGCACUGCAGUUCACAUCAGCCAGGCUCUGAAUGUUCUCCCGUGUGCUGUGGCUCUCCCCCAUGAGGAAGUUUUCACUAUGCAGAGUAUUUUUCUCCAUUAAAAUGAUUAUGUUAAAUAGCUGAGAGGUUCCUCAAUGUCUACUUUUUGAACUGAACUAUCCCACAGUUGGCAGCUUCUGAGAACAGCAGACACGAGGUUACUAAACCCAUUCAUUUCUCAAACGCACCCACAUUUCUAAUGGCUACAGAGAUCCAUCUUUAAAGUCCUCCGAGAUCCAUUGGAAUGAAGGGCACUUUGUGAGGACGCAGUAAUUAUUAUGGGAUUUAGAGGUGUGUGGAAAUGAUUCACGGAGGCAUUUCCCAGCCAGUACGCUCUGGGAGCCAGGUGAGCUCUUCCCUGGAAUGUGAAGUAUGCAGCGCAGCAACCGGGAGGAACAGGUUUGGCAGGACAUUUUAAGCUGCGCAGGGCAGACAGCCUCUUCAGAGCCACAUCCCUGCGCUACCUGGCUCCCAGCUGGAUGCUCCUCUCUGCCACACCGUCCCUGCUGAGCCAGAGAGGAUGGACACGCUGCGAAGGAGCCUUUCUCGCUGGAAGAGGUACCACAUCAAGGUGCACUUGGCUGAUGAGGACCUGAUGAUGCCGCUGACGGUCAAGCCCAGAGACACAGUGAUGGACCUGCGGGCUUACCUGGUGCGGGAGGGCGUCACUUCCUGGAAGAAGACAUUUUAUUACAACUCCAGGCAGCUUGAAGAGCAUGAGACUCUGAAAGAAGCCAAUAUCCAGAAUGGCUCAGUCCUGCUUCUCGUCAGCAACAAAAGAUAAUGUCAAAGAGCACAGUAAAAGCCAUGGGAGACGGGGAGCGUGACAAGCGCUGAAAGGAAGCAGAUGGAAGGGAGCCUGGCCGUGGAACAGCAGCGUGGCCACGGGUGCUGGUAAGUCCCUCCCUGCACGCCAGCUCCAGGACUGUUCAAAAGCAGCUCCGCGACUUUUAAGCACAGUGUCUAUGAAUAAUUAACCCCAAAACAACUACAAGUAACAUUUCCUCAUCAGUGAGCCACGUGGUCUGAGCUGCCCACGGAGAAGCGUGGGUUGGGCUGACUCAGCUCCUGAGGGCAAUGAAUCAGCGUGAAAUGCCCAGGAAAGGGUAAAUCCUGUCUGGGUGGUGAAGCAAGAAGGAGCUGAGGUGGGCUUUGCUCAGGGCCCCAGAUGAGGAUGGUGGAGAUCUGAGCCUCCUUCCGACCCCUCACAGGAUUCCUCAGUGAGCUGGCCUUUUCCUAUGUGCAAGGCUGAGAUAAUUUCUUGUUCCCUUUCUCCCACUCUUUGUCCAUCCAACUGUAAGUGACUCAGGGUAGGGACUGUUUGUGCUUCUGAGCACAAUGUGGUGUGGCCCUGAACUCCAGGUUGAAAGCUCCAUCCGGCAAACAAGUGCUAAGUGCACACAAAACAGUCCUGGUGCUUGACAGCCUUUAUAUAUCCCAAGGACAGAGGCUGGCUGGUCGCUGUCAUGGGGACUGCCCUGCCUGACAUUAGGGCCACGCUGUUACACCAAAACGACCUUAUGUUGAGACAGGGCUUAUAGAGCAGUGAGCUUCCUUGUGUUGUUCUCCCAUCUCUGUGCCAGUGCCCCAACUCCUGAACCAGCUGACCUGAUUCAACCCAGUUUGACAGAGAGCAAGAGGUCUCACAGAUCCAAGAUUCCUGCAAUUUUUGUGAAAAAGCAGCAGCUGGAUAGAAACAGAUAUUUAAGUUAAUAUCCUACUGCAGGAGAGGUAAUUGUAUCUCUGCUCCUACCUGGUUUGAGGUGCAGCAGCUGGGUCAGCUGGCAUUGAGAUAGUAGCUGGUCAAUCAGCGCCUCUCUGCAAAGCUGCACCGCGCCUGCAGGGCAGGAAGCUGCUGGGAGCUGCACACUUUGCUGGGGAGGCCCUGGAGGGGAUAAGGGUGCCCUGGGGAUAUUGGGAGCACUGAGAAAGGGAGUGAAAAAAAAGCAGUUGUAAUCCAUAAGUCAGGAGAACGGGUUUCACCAGUUCCCUGCUGACAGAACAACUCACUUUUUAGGUUCAAACUUCUGUUCAGGACAGAAUGAAUGUUUCUUUAACCACUACAGUACGUUCCCCAGGAAGUUUUAGUGAUCAACGACCGAGCACCGAACCCCCAAACCUGCAUCUUCCGUUGCUAACUGGAAAACAUGCCCUUCUGGAUUUUUUUGGUGACAAGAAAAUGUUUGAUUUGAAGAAACACCGUUGAAAAUGGAGUUUCUCAUUUUCCAGGAGAUCUUUUUUUUCCUUUUUCCUACAAACAAGAAGUGUUUCCCCACGUAUUUCCUUGGACUUUGUGCGGAAAGAGAUUCUGAGAUAGACAAGGAGGGGUGAACGCAGCCACAGCUGAAGAGCCUGCAGAGCAAGCAGCAGGGGACAAAGGGAGGGAUGGGACCCAACGUGGGAAGUGGGGACGUGCCUUUCCCAAGGGCACCCAGCACGCCGGGAGCGCGGUGCUGCCGCGGUUGGGUCAGCGUUCCUGCCACGCGGCGCCUCCCCGCGUCUGUCUGUCCUGCAGUAAUGAGACUGCUGGAGCAGAGCCAGUGCUUUUCUGAGAGCUUGAGAAGCGCCUUGCGCAGCUCAGGUGCAGCCAUAAGUAACAAUUUAAAUUUAACGAUAAUAUUAAAGCGGAGGCAUACCACUGAAGAUGGGGCAUAUUCAACAGCAGAGUCCUAAAUCAAUGUCUCCCUUCUUAUAAAAUGUACAGUUUGUCUCCCAAAGUCUGGGAGACCAGUAUUUACCUCUCUGGUCCUGGAAAUCACGGUCUUCUCUCUGCAGAAGGCGAAGUGACCUGAGUAGAAUUCUGCCCAGUCUCUGCUCCAGCACCUCGCGCUGUAGCUGGCGGCUUUGGUCAGCGCUGGUAGUCUUUCUGCAGCUCAGGAGGAUAGCUGGAAAGAAUAAAUUAACUGUGGUGGUGUGGGGAGCUGCUUGGAAUAAUGUCUUUUUCAGAGAUAGGCUUUGAUUGACACUUCAGAUCUGGCUGACAAUCUUAUAUUCUAAGUGCAGUUGCUGCCUUUCUUCAGAGCAAGAAGAGCUGGUUUGGUUGCUGUCCUUCAAAUGAUGGAUCUUAUCACAUGGGAAAAAGAAGAAAAAAAGCAAACCACCUGCAAACAGCCACAGGUGUGGACAAGACCGAGGACUGAGGCUGAGAGGUGUGCAAGCUCCCAUCUGCGUGCCAGCCUGGGCGCACUGCAGGGUGGAGACGUUUGCAGCUUCACGCUCUGCAUCGUGGAUGGGCUUUCUUCUUGUCAGCAGUGCUUGUCUUUGGGAUCCUCUGUUGCUGGGCCAUCACCGAGAGGAUUACUGUUUGCUCUUUGCUGCUGCAUUCACCUCCACUCGCAGCUGCAGCCAGGCCUUCCCAACCAGCUGCUUUUCCUGAGCUGCAGGAGCAGAAGACAAGCCCAGGCAGGGGCCAUCUGCGGCAGCUGCUGCGCUCCAGCAGGGCAGCUCAGGCUGAGGCACGCUGCAGUGCUGCUUCUCUCCUCUGCCCGCGUCGCGGAUGCAUCAAGCGCUUCUGUUUACAGGGCCAUCAGUCUGGCAGCUUUCCUCGACGCUAAAUUUACUUUUUGAAGUUACAUCAGUGUUGUACCCAGAGGGAAUGAAGGAACAGAUGCAGCCUGUGAAGUCUGGCUUUAAUUCACCUGCCUCAUUUAAUUUCCUGCCCUGCCUUCUAAUCAAUGAGUCUGCGCUGGCAGCCCUGGGAAUACCGAGGUUUUCUCACAUACAGGAGGACUCAGUGUGGUGGAUCUCAGGGUCUCGAGCAGGCCGUGUCCCUUCUCCUUUGAGGCUUUCUGUGCCCCAGAAGCACUGCACACACGUGGUGGCUGCAUCACAUUUCCUUUAAGGGGCCAGUGGAGGGGUCCUUCACCAGGACAGCAGCGUUACAUCACCUCAGCUGUUUUCAGGACUUCGUUGCCUCAGAUACUUGGGACUCUCAUGAAACCUGAUGAAAGGGUCUGGGGCAUUUCUGCUUUGCUGAGCAGGCUCCAGCUGUCCUGUUUCUUUCUUUUUUUUUUUUUGAGCUCAUGUUAAUUCCAGGCAGCACUGCCCAGUUGCUUAAUCAGCCAGUGUCAAAACCCUGGGAGAGAAGAAGGCUGCCCUUGGCUGGCAGCACUUAUUUUGUGACGUUGCUGCUUCACCUCAUGUAUUAUAAUCUGUAUCAGAUUGCUCUUGGCUUGCUAAAAUGGACAAUUAGGAUCCAGUUGUAAUGCAAAUUGCACAGUGGAAUAAAAACCAUGGGGAACAAAAUCACAAAUAAGUAUUUAUGUCAGCCUUUGUUACCGCGUGAUGGGUCCUGCUCAGUCACUGCUCACUGCGAAGCAUUAGACAGAGGAGAACCUGGCGUGCCUUUGUGUUUUAUAGGCACGAGCUGCUCUGUGUAAGUCUGCCUUUAGGCACUCGCGGGCCCCGAUAAUGUGCAUGUGUGCAAACCUAACAGACAGAUUGCCGCCUACACUGGAAAUUUGAUGAUUGCCUUGUUUUUUCCGCGGCUCUGUUUUCUAUACUGCAGGCCAAACCCAUGGGGUAAUUUCCAGUCUCUCUGCACAGGGCUGAGAUGACGUGGUGAGAGAAGUGCAGAGAUGCUGAAAUUUCAAUCUGCCACAUAAUGUGCUCCUAAUACUGAUGGCCUUAUAAGUGUGUUGUUGACAUUGGUGGUGUUGCUGUCGUUCUUGCCAUCGUUGUCUUUCCUAUGUCUGGUGCAAAACAUUAUAAAUGAAGAGGACUAUUCAAAUUUAUAAAGGAAACUAUAGUUUCUUUGGAAUUAAACACACAGGAGUCUUGUAACGCA